AAAGAUCGCAGCCUGCGGCAGCUCCUACAGAAGAACGCGAUCUGUUGUAGGAGCUGCCGCAGGCUGCGAUCUUU
rnacentral:antisense_RNA from 1 species